UUACGGCUAUAUCACGUUGAAACACGGGUUCUCGUGCAAUACCUGAAGUUAAGCAACGUCGAGCGUGGUUAGUACCUAGACGGGCGUCCGCUUGGGAAUAUCAGGUGUUGCAA